rnacentral:lncRNA from 1 species
CAGUAGUAAUUUAGUAUAUUUGGAAAACCCAAAAGUAUGUAUCUUAGCCAUAAUGCAAUUUGAACCAUUGUAGGCUAACUUAUAUUUAAGGUCAUAAAAUUGAAAAAUUACACAUAUAUUUUGAUAACUUAAUAGAUGACAUCAAACAUAGAAAAAAAUCUUGGCAAAUGGGCUUUUUAAAUUAAAAAGAAAAACAAACAUAUUGUUUUCCAAAUAUAAGCCAGCUAAGGUAUAGUAGAUUUAUUCAACUCAGAUAUUUUGUUAGAUCAUUUCAGAUAGCUGGAGAGUAUAAUGUCUUUAAUAUAAGGCGGUAAUACACAGUUACAUUAAAUGAAAUAUACUCUGAGCUGAUAUAUAUCUUCUUAAAGAGAAUGCAAGAGUAUGAUAUGCCACCACCUAUACACUUGGGCCAAAUAACAAAGGGGAAUUUGUUCCCCUUUGUUCCCCAAGGAUGAAGAAUCCGCAUUGAUAAGAAUCCUAUAGACCUCUGAGCAGAAAAUCUGAUCUAAGGCCCGGUGUUAAGGAAUAGUUACUGACACUAAGCACUGACAGUAUUAGAAUGUGCCCUCAUGGCCACCUAAUCAUCUGGUGACCUCCAGCUCUAACAUAUUAUGCUGACUC